rnacentral:rRNA from 1 species
AGUGAACGCUGGCGGUAGGCCUAACACAUGCAAGUCGAACGGCAGCACAGUAAGAGCUUGCUCUUACGGGUGGCGAGUGGCGGACGGGUGAGGAAUACAUCGGAAUCUACUUUUUCGUGGGGGAUAACGUAGGGAAACUUACGCUAAUACCGCAUACGACCUACGGGUGAAAGCAGGGGAUCUUCGGACCUUGCUCGAUUGAAUGAGCCGAUGUCGGAUUAGCUAGUUGGCGGGGUAAAGGCCCACCAAGGCGACGAUCCGUAGCUGGUCUGAGAGGAUGAUCAGCCACACUGGAACUGAGACACGGUCCAGACUCCUACGGGAGGCAGCAGUGGGGAAUAUUGGACAAUGGGCGCAAGCCUGAUCCAGCCAUACCGCGUGGGUGAAGAAGGCCUUCGGGUUGUAAAGCCCUUUUGUUGGGAAAGAACAGCAGCAGGUUAAUACCCGGCUGUUCUGACGGUACCAAAAGAAUAAGCACCGGCUAACUUCGUG